rnacentral:rRNA from 1 species
CUGGAGCUAAUACAUGCGCAAAACCGCAACUUACGGAGCGGUGCUUUUAUUAGAUCAAAACCAAACGGUCUCGUGCCGUCCCCUGGUGAUUCUGAAUAACUUUGGGCUGAUCGCAUGGCCAUGAGCCGGCGACGUAUCCUUCCAAGGUGUGCCCUAUCAACUGUCGACUGUGGCAUAGACGCCCACAGUGGUUUUGACGGGUAACGGGGAAUUAGGGUUCGAUUCCGGAGAGGGAGCCUGAGAAACGGCUACCACUUCUACGGAAGGCAGCAGGCACGCAAAUUACCCACUGGCCGAAGGCCGAGGUAGUGACGAAAAAUAACGAUACCGGACUCUUCCGAGGCCCGGUAAUCGGAAUGAGUACGCUUUAGAUCCUUUAACGAGG